AGCGGGGGAUAACUAUUGGAAACGAUAGCUAAUACCGCAUGACAAUAGGGUACACAUGUACCGUAUUUAAAAGGGGCAACUGCUUCACUAUGAGAUGGACCUGCGUUGUAUUAGCUAGUUGGUAAGGUAACGGCUUACCAAGGCGACGAUACAUAGCCGACCUGAGAGGGUGAUCGGCCACACUGGGACUGAGACACGGCCCAGACUCCUACGGGAGGCAGCAGUAGGGAAUCUUCGGCAAUGGGGGGAACCCUGACCGAGCAACGCCGCGUGAGUGAAGAAGGUUUUCGGAUCGUAAAGCUCUGUUGUUAGAGAAGAACGGUAAUGGGAGUGGAAAAUCCAUUACGUGACGGUAACUAACCAGAAAGGGACGGCUAACUACGUGCCAGCAGCCGCGGUAAUACGUAGGUCCCGAGCGUUGUCCGGAUUUAUUGGGCGUAAAGCGAGCGCAGGCGGUUUGAUAAGUCUGAAGUUAAAGGCUGUGGCUUAACCAUAGUUCGCUUUGGAAACUGUCAAACUUGAGUGCAGAAGGGGAGAGUGGAAUUCCAUGUGUAGCGGUGAAAUGCGUA
rnacentral:rRNA from 1 species